rnacentral:lncRNA from 1 species
GCCACCAUAAAAAAUUUACCACAAUUGGACCAUAGAAACUGUGGUUAUGAAUUAUUUCAAUUAAUUACAGAAAAGAAUAGAUCAAAAUCUAUAGCAAAAACUUUAUACUAAAGCAUACCAUAUUAUAUGUUCACUAUGUAGAUCUACUCAUGUGGAGGUCAACAAAAUUAGAUUUUCUAUUUGAUGAUAUACUAUAAUUUUUUAAAGAUUCAGCCAAAAUAAAUUAAAAAAAGACAAAAUCGCCUUUAAAAUCUGCUUAUAACCGGGCCAGGGAGGUAAAACGUAUUGUUUUAAAAGUUGAGGAAGAUGGUUUACCCGAUUUUUGAGUUUAGGAAGGAAAAACAGACUUUCGCAAAAAAAAAAUGAGUGAGGAAGAAUAAACUUUUUUCCUUAAAAUAAAUAAGCUGACCCAAUCCAAUUAUGAACCAGUACUCGAGUACACACCCAUGGGAAGUCUGGAGCUCCAAUAUGAUUUUGGUAGCUUCUUAUCUUUUAGUUUCUUCUAGUUUCUCAAUAUAGCGCAUACAAAAAAUAUAUGCAAAAUUAGAGAAAGUUUGUAUAAAAUCUCCUCAAACAAAUGCCCCC